GGUUGCCGAUGGAGUGAGAUGUUGACAGAAGUUGACGAGAAGAGGACUCUGGUCAGGAUAGUGUGAAUUAUUUUGCCUACACAACUAUUAUAUGACACAUAUAAUCUGAUAAUAGGAGCAGUAUUUGUAGCUGAGUUAAAACUUCAUCCUACUCUGUUAAAGAUUCCUCUGAGCAGCUGCUGACAGGUCAAGGUGUGUCAAACCAAGAAAUAAUCCUGGACAGUCAGCUGUAGUUAAUGAGAGAGGAAUUACUGUAAAAGUGAUGCCAGAGACAGCCCUCGUGACAAAGAUGGCAAAAAAUCUUCUCCGACAGUCUUACAUAAAAUUACUCUGCUCCUCUCCUGCAAAAUCCCACAAUGCAUUUCUAAAUUUGGCCUCACAGCGAUGUCAACAUA